rnacentral:lncRNA from 1 species
AAGGAAAAAGAAGUUACCAAGAAUCCUAUCUAAAUGUGUGUUUCUCUACUUUUUAAGGUUUAUUUGCGUAUUGGGAAUGGGAUGAAUUUAAAAUGGUAAUUGAAGAGGAAGAGGCUUUUGACUUAUGACAGAACUACUCAUUAUUUUUUUUAAACCACAUUUCUCAGCCUUGGCUCCUCCAGCUCCCUCUGACUUCAAAAGAAGCUCUGAAUGAAGAGGGAGGGCACACAAUAGAAGAAUUGGCCUGA